GAAGUUCAGAGAAGCCGAGUAACUCGCCUAAGGGAACAGAGUUGGGCGAUGCAGUCGCCUUGUCCCGCCUGGGCAAGUUCAAGAACCACAGGAGGGGUUGUUUUUGGCAGAGGAAUCCACUAGAAGCUUACCACACGUUCCCUUGAGCUUUUCAAGGACUUCCUGGAGGGCUGGUCCACCCCACCCACUGGGGUAGAAUAAACUUGGUUUCCAGGAGCCUGGCUUUCUCUGAGAGGUGGAUUCUUUUCCUGCUGAGCCAGGGAAGGGAAGACUUCAUGGAGGGAACUGUCAGUGUAAAAAUGAUAGCUCCUGUUCUCAAGGAGACAUAUGGAGAAGAUAGAAGCCAUGGUUCCAAGGAGGGCAUGGGACAUAUCAGGGGAACUCGGUCCAGCUGGAGCGGCGUGCUUCCUCCCGGGCCAGGGCUGCGGCAGUGGCCGACCGUCCCUGGCCAGAGCUGCUCAACCCCCGCCGGCAGCGCCCACUCCCCCCAGGGACUACCGGACCCGGGCCAGGGACAGCAGACACCUAGGCUGAGCCUGGAACUAGACAGCCCCCGACCUCCGCAGCGCGCACGCUGUAGUCUCGCCUCACCCCACCCGCCACCCGUCUUCAGUGUCUCCUCGCGCCUUCUCCCCAGGGUCUGCGCCGGUCCUCCACACCUUCACACAGGUCUCGGUCUGUGCUGUAACACCGGCCUCAUUCCCGGCGCUCGGCUCGGGUCAACGUCUGCUGAGCUUCCAGAGGAAGCUCAUUCACCGCAUAGUUGGAUAGGGGAGGAGUUGGGGCG
ensembl:lncRNA